rfam:Erythranthe guttata cultivar DTN x IM62 scaffold_130_contig_71, whole genome shotgun sequence.
AAAACGCACCAGGGGUGUCUGUAUCUGCUCCAGCGGGACUGGAGCAGGUUUAGGCUGAGAAAGUCCCUUUGAACCUGAACAGGAUAAUCCCUGCGUAGGGAGAGUGCCUUUUUUUUUUC